rnacentral:lncRNA from 1 species
AGGAAGACAUUUUUUUAUACCCACAGAUUUCCUAGAAGUGAGAGAUGCACAGGGAAACAGCAGAGACUGUGCUGGCUCUGGAUUUCACCAUGGAACAUUCAAGAACAGAUUCUGAACUCUGCAAGGUUGAUGCUGAUGGGGAUUCC